UUGCCUCACAGAUAGGGACAACAUUUGGAAACGAAUGCUAAUACCUGAUAUUAUGAUUUUAGGGCAUCCUAGAAUUAUGAAAGCUAUAUGCGCUGUGAGAGAGCUUUGCGUCCCAUUAGCUAGUUGGAGAGGUAACGGCUCACCAAGGCGAUGAUGGGUAGCCGGCCUGAGAGGGUGAACGGCCACAAGGGGACUGAGACACGGCCCUUACUCCUACGGGAGGCAGCAGUGGGGAAUAUUGGACAAUGGACCAAGAGUCUGAUCCAGCAAUUCUGUGUGCACGAUGAAGUUUUUCGGAAUGUAAAGUGCUUUCAGUUGGGAAGAAAAAAAUGACGGUACCAACAGAAGAAGUGACGGCUAAAUACGUGCCAGCAGCCGCGGUAAUACGUAUGUCACAAGCGUUAUCCGGAUUUAUUGGGCGUAAAGCGCGUCUAGGUGGUUAUGUAAGUCUGAUGUGAAAAUGCAGGGCUCAACUCUGUAUUGCGUUGGAAACUGUGUAACUAGAGUACUGGAGAGGUAAGCGGAACUACAAGUGUAGAGGUGAAAUUCGUAGAUAUUUGUAGGAAUGCCGAUGGGGAAGCCAGCUUACUGGACAGAUACUGACGCUAAAGCGCGAAAGCGUGGGUAGCAAACAGGAUUAGAUACCCUGGUAGUCCACGCCGUAAACGAUGAUUACUAGGUGUUGGGGGUCGAACCUCAGCGCCCAAGCAAACGCGAUAAGUAAUCCGCCUGGGGAGUACGUACGCAAGUAUGAAACUC
rnacentral:rRNA from 1 species